CAGAAUUCAGGGCAAAGCUGCGGAAACGCAGUGACGCAAAACUACAGGGACUUCGACCAUUGGUCAUGUCAGCCAGCUGCUAAG
rnacentral:ncRNA from 1 species